rnacentral:rRNA from 1 species
GACGAACGCUGGCGGCGUGCCUAAUACAUGCAAGUAGAACGCUGAAGGAGGAGCUUGCUUCUCUGGAUGAGUUGCGAACGGGUGAGUAACGCGUAGGUAACCUGCCUGGUAGCGGGGGAUAACUAUUGGAAACGAUAGCUAAUACCGCAUAACAGUAGAUAUCGCAUGAUAUCUACUUGAAAGGUGCAAUUGCAUCACUACCAGAUGGACCUGCGUUGUAUUAGCUAGUUGGUGAGGUAACGGCUCACCAAGGCGACGAUACAUAGCCGACCUGAGAGGGUGAUCGGCCACACUGGGACUGAGACACGGCCCAGGCUCCUACGGGAGGCAGCAGUAGGGAAUCUUCGGCAAUGGACGGAAGUCUGACCGAGCAACGCCGCGUGAGUGAAGAAGGUUUUCGGAUCGUAAAGCUCUGUUGUAAGAGAAGAACGAGUGUGAGAGUGGAAAGUUCACACUGUGACGGUAUCUUACCAGAAAGGGACGGCUAACUACGUG